GUUUAACAAAAACAUGUCUUCUUGAUAAUAUUUUGAAGUCUUACCUGCUCAAUGAUUAAAUUUAAAUGGCCGCGGUAUUAUGACCGUGCAAAGGUAGCAUAAUCAUUAGUUUCUUAAUUGGAGACUGGAAUGAAUGGUUUGACGAGAAAUUGACUGUCUCUUAAUAAUUUUUAGAAUUUAACUUUUAAGUUAAAAGGCUUAAAUAUUUCUUUUGGACGAGAAGACCCUAUAGAGCUUUACAUUUAUAAAUUAAUUUUUAUUAUAUAGAUGAUUUCUUAAUAUUAAUUUGUUUUGUUUGGUUGGGGUGACUUGAAGAAUAAAUAAACUCUUCAUUAUUAAAUCAUUGAUUUAUGUUUAUUUGAUCCAUAAUUUUUGAUUAUAAGAUUAAGUUACCUUAGGGAUAACAGCGUAAUCAUUUUUGAGAGUUCUUAUUGAUAAAGUGGAUUGCGACCUCGAUGUUGGAUUAAGAUUAAUUACGGGUGUAGUGGCUUGAUAAUUAGGUCUGUUCGACCUUUAAAUUCUUACGUGAUC
rnacentral:rRNA from 1 species